AGCGAACGCUGGCGGCAGGCUUAAUACAUGCAAGUCGAGCGCCUGUAGCAAUACAGGAGCGGCAGACGGGAGAGUAACACGUGGGAACGUGCCCUUUGGUUCGGAACAACACAGGGAAACUUGUGCUAAUACCGGAUAAGCCCUUACGGGGAAAGAUUUAUUGCCAAAGGAUCGGCCCGCGUCUGAUUAGCUAGUUGGUGAGGUAAUGGCUCACCAAGGCGACGAUCAGAGCUGGUCUGAGAGGAUGAUCAGCCUCAUUGGGACUGAGACACGGCCCAAACUCCUACGGGAGGCAGCGGCAGGGGAAUAUUGGACAAGUGGGCGCAAGCCUGAUCCAGCCAUGCCGCGUGAGUGAUGAAGG
rnacentral:rRNA from 1 species